rnacentral:lncRNA from 1 species
GAAAAGAAAAGGAAAAAUUGGUUCUUAUAUUGACCUCGAUCUACUAGCCAGUCUGCAACUGGCAUGGCCAAUAUCACAACAUAUUUAGCGAGUUGCAUGGGCUUCUGUGUAGUAGAUUAUUAUGUUGUCACUUGUCAUGCAUUAGUUACUUCUCCUUUUUUUCUUGCCCCUUUUAUCCGGAUUAUGUCUUUUUCAAUACAGUAUACAAGUUCUUGCAUACAUAGUGGAACAGCAAUCUAACUAUCUGAAUUGUCCAUAAUAACCAUCAUUUUUAUCUGUCUAGCAGUUGUAGCUUGCCAGCAAUUAAACGUUCU